rnacentral:rRNA from 1 species
UACGGAGGGUGCAAGCGUUAUCCGGAUUCACUGGGUUUAAAGGGUGCGUAGGUGGGCUAGUAAGUCCGUGGUGAAAUCCCCGAGCUUAACUCGGGAACUGCCGUGGAUACUAUUAGUCUUGAAUAUCGUGGAGGUAAGCGGAAUAUGUCAUGUAGCGGUGAAAUGCUUAGAUAUGACAUAGAGCACCGAUAGCGGAGGCAGCUUACUACGCGAUUAUUGACACUGAGGCACGAAAGCGUGGGGAUCAAACAGG